rnacentral:rRNA from 1 species
AUUGAACGCUGGCGGCAGGCCUAACACGUGCAAGUCGAGCGGAUGAAGGGAGCUUGCUCCUGGAUUCAGCGGCGGACGGGUGGGUAAUGCCUAGGAAUCUGCCUGGUAGUGGGGGAUAACGUCCGGAAACGGGCGCUAAUACCGCAUACGUCCUGAGGGAGAAAGUGGGGGAUCUUCGGACCUCACGCUAUCAGAUGAGCCUAGGUCGGAUUAGCUAGUUGGUGGGGUAAAGGCCUACCAAGGCGACGAUCCGUAACUGGUCUGAGAGGAUGAUCAGUCACACUGGAACUGAGACACGGUCCAGACUCCUACGGGAGGCAGCAGUGGGGAAUAUUGGACAAUGGGCGAAAGCCUGAUCCAGCCAUGCCGCGUGUGUGAAGAAGGUCUUCGGAUUGUAAAGCACUUUAAGUUGGGAGGAAGGGCAGUAAGUUAAUACCUUGCUGUUUUGACGUUACCAACAGAAUAAGCACCGGCUAACUUCGUG